rnacentral:lncRNA from 1 species
CUGAAAUGUUAAUAAACCCUAGAGUCAGUAGUCUUACACCAAUCCGACCUUCUCUAUUAAGGUUAGGAAGGAGUGCCGUUGGCAUAGGUUGAAUUGGAGGGGAUUUCCUUUUGUUUUGCAAUGUGCACGCAGACAAGCAGGCACCAAGCUACAAGUGAGUAACUUUCCCACUAAUCCUCCAAGGCGUGUGACAAUAUGACCCUGAGCUUUUACAACUAAGAACAGUAUGCUUUCAUUAUUGAUAGAGACUUGGAACCUGCAACCCACAGAAGUCCCAAGAGUGCGGAUUUAUCCAUGGAAUUAUACCAAGAAUAAAUUAGACCACGGACAUCAGAGGCACCACUCACAGGCGUAUGAACUACUGGCUCCAGUCCACUGUUUCCGUACUUUGGUUAUUUCCAUUUAGUUUAACUUGAUUAGAUUCCAACACUCAGUAAACUUGAUCAAAUUUUUUUUGAAGAAUAUGUUUGCAUAUCAACUACAUUUUUCACAUCCUUGCUCAGCCUCUGGAAAAAGCUCUUAAUAAAGAGGGAACUUACAGUUUCGCCUGUAAAAUAGCAACAGCCAAAUUUCCACUAUGAUUUGGGAUCAAGCAUCAAGUGCUGGAAGAAUAUGUUGCAAUUAUCCAGGUGAAUUGUUAACUGAAAUGUAAGGUUACUAACUGAGGUAAUUACCGCAGUGUCACUAUGAACACACUACCCCUGCAUUCUCCCAGCAUGAUACAGUGCUUAUGAUGGAUAGUGGCUGUUAGGUCCAGACUGGGAGCAGCAGCAACCUGUUCUUAAAUCCUUCCUCUGUCUAAUGCUCCUUGCUUAACACUCUGUUAAUUCCUGGUAACCCUGCUAUUCUUCCAAGGGCCUUAAAAAAAAAAACAAAAAAAAACCCACUUCCUUCAUCAUGCCAUUGUUUCAUCAUGACUUUGUGAAAGAAGAAAAGAAGGGGAAAAAAAAAAAGAAAGGAAAAAAGAAGGAUUGAGAUGGAACAAAAGACUGUGUAGCAGCAAGGAGCUUCUCCUGCAUCCACUUACUGAAGAAUGCAGAGUUCAAUCUUCAAAAUGGGAAAUCAACUUGUAUUUCUUACAGACAAGCAUUUUCUGUUGCAGAAAAACAAGUAAUAAACGUUCUCCC